CGUUAUCCGGAAUUAUUGGGCGUAAAGGAUGCGUAGGUGGUGUAGUAAGUUAUCGGUGGUAAAUCGAGGCUCAACCUCGUGGAAGUCGGUAAUACUGCUAUGCUAGAGGAUAGGAGAGGUUAACGGAACUCCCUGUGGAGCGGUGAAAUGCGUAGAUAUAGGGAAGAACACCAAUCAGGCGAAGGCAGUUAACUAUUCUAUUCCUGACAUUGAGGCAUGAAAGCGUGGGGAGCAAAACGG
rnacentral:rRNA from 1 species